ACUAGACCUAGCCCUAAACCCACAACAACAAUACUAUCACACAGCAAUAAAUCAAAACAUUUACCAAAUACUAACUAAAGUAUAGGAGAUAGAAAUUUUACUAAGGCGCUAUAGAAAUAGUACCGCAAGGGAAAGAUGAAAGACCCCCUGAUAGUAAGAAACAGCAAAGACUAAUACUUUUACCUUUUGCAUAAUGAAUUAACUAGACUAAUUUUGGCAAAGAGAACUUUAGUCAAAUAUCCCGAAACCAGACGAGCUACUUAUGGACAGUAAUUAGUACUAACUCAUCUAUGUCGCAAAAUAGUGAGAAGAUCUGUAAGUAGAGGUGAAAGACCAACCGAGCCUGGUGAUAGCUGGUUGCCCAGAACAGAAUUUUAGUUCAACUUAAAACUUAUCUCAAGAACCACUCCUUAAUCUUAAUAUAAGUUUUAAAUAUACUCAAUAGAGGUACAGCUCCAUUGAAACAGGUAUUAAACCUGCACAGGAGAGUAAGCCGUAUAAAACACUUACAUAGUUGGCCUAAAAGCAGCCAUCAAUAAAGAAAGCGUUAAAGCUCAACAACAAAACAAUGACAGAUACCAAAAACCACUGCCACCUCCCAACCUAAUACUGGGCCAAUCUAUAUAAAUAGAAGAGAUAAUGUUAGUAUAAGUAACAAGAAUAUUUUCUCCGUGCAUAAGUGUAUAUCAGACCGGAUAGACCACUGAUAGUUAACAAAUAGGCACCAAACUACCACCAAACAAUAACAAUGCCAUACACCUUGUUAAUCCAACACAGGCAUGCAUAACUAACGGAAAGAUUUAAAGGAAUAGAAGGAACUCGGCAAACACGAAUCCCGCCUGUUUACCAAAAACAUCACCUCUAGCAUUACAAUUAUUAGAGGCACCGCCUGCCCAGUGACACACGUUUAACGGCCGCGGUACCCUGACCGUGCAAAGGUAGCAUAAUCACUUGUUCUCUAAUUAAGGACCCGUAUGAAUGGCUAAACGAGGUUUCUACUGUCUCCUAUUCCCUAUCAGUAAAAUUGACCUUCCGUGAAGAGGCGGGAAUAAUCAUAUAAGACGAGAAGACCCUGUGGAGCUUAAAUUAACUAGAUCAGCAAUAUCAACAUAUCCAUCAACAGAUAUAAAACAGAAUGAUAUGAACUAUUAAUUUUGGUUGGGGUGACCUCGGAGCACAGCAAAACCUCCGAAUGACAGCGCCAAGACCAACCGGUCAAAGCCCAUAACGAAACCAAUUGAUCCAAAAAUUGACCAACGGAACCAGUUACCCCAGGGAUAACAGCGCAAUCCUAUUCCAGAGCCCAUAUCAACAAUAGGGUUUACGACCUCGAUGUUGGAUCAGGACACCCAAAUGGUGCAGCCGCUAUUAAAGGUUCGUUUGUUCAACGAUUAAAGUCCUACGUGAUCUGAGUUCAGACCGGAGCAAUCCAGGUCGGUUUCUAUCUAUAACCAAUUUCUCCCAGUACGAAAGGACAAGAGAAAUAAGGCCAACUUUACAAGAGGCGCCUUAAAUCAAAAUAGAUGAAAUAAUCUCAACCUAAAACAUUACAUAAACAUUAGUCCUAAGCCAGGACCU
rnacentral:rRNA from 1 species